rnacentral:rRNA from 1 species
AUGGUUGCUGAAUGGACCAUCAAAAAUACUAGGAUUAUCACUGAGUUAUUUGCCGAGCAAGUGAAAGCUGGAAUUAGGCCAAAUACUCAUUUGACUGCCAAUGCAUAUGAGGAAGUGGGAAGAAAAUUCAAAAUAAGAACAGGGUUGGAGCACACGUAUAAUCAAUUGAAGAACAAAUGGGAAAAACUCAGAAGUGAUUAUAGUGUAUUCAAGAAACUUUCUUUGAAGGAGACGGGAGCAGGAUGGGACAUUGAGCACAACACUGUGAAACAAGAUGCUGAGUGGCGGAACAAGGCAAAGAUAGUGAAUUCAAUCUUACGUUGUGCAUACCAUAUCUUCUCCUUAGUUGUUAAAAUAUAUUAUCUUUGUUGUAUUGUAGGACAUUCCAGGUUGUUACAAGUUCAUAGACUUCGCAAUGAAGAAAACUUGCGCUUCAUGUUUGGAGACAUCACAAGUGAUGGUUCGGAUCAUUGGAAUCCGAGUUUUGGCACCCCUCCUUCUACUACUCUAAUAUCAAGUGCCAUCAAUCUUGAGCAAAUUGAAGAUGUUGAUUUGUUGGAGGAUACCCAAGUUCCAUCUCCUAUUACACCAAAGGUUAAUAAGAGGCUCGAAAAGAUCAUUUGUGACACAAACAAGAGACCGAAGACCACACAAGUGAUGCAGGUGCAGAUUACAAUGAUUGGGUCAACUCCGCUCAUGGAUUGUGGAGGCUUCCUGGAGUUGGGUCGUUCGGGCCAGCUCUGCUCGUGGAUUCGUGGAAGCUGGGAGCUGGCAAGCUACCGAACAGGCCCUUAG